CUUUAGUAUCUCUAAAAGGUUAUACUUUAGUAUCUCUCAAAGGUUAUACUUUAGUAUCUCUAAAAGGUUAUACUUUAGUAUCUCUAAAAGGUUAUACUUUAGUAUCUCUAAAAGGUUAUACUUUAGUAUCUCUCAAAGGUUAUACUUUAGUAUCUCUAAAAGGUUAUACUUUAGUAUCUCUCAAAGGUUAUACUUUAGUAUCUCUAAAAGGUUAUACUUUAGUAUCUCUAAAAGGUUAUACUUUAGUAUCUCUAAAAGGUUAUACUUUAGUAUCUCUAAAAGGUUAUACUUUAGUAUCUCUAAAAGGUUAUGUGGUUAACUGGAUAAUAAUGGGCUAUACUUUAGUAUCUCUAAAAGGUUAUACUUUAGUAUCUCUAAAAGGUUAUGUGAUUAACUGGAUAAUAAUGGGCUAUACUUUAGUAUCUCUAAAAGGUUAUGUGAUUAACUGGAUAAUAAUGGGCUAUACUUUAGUAUCUCUAAAAGGGUAUACUUUAGUAUCUCUAAAAGGUUAUACUUUAGUAUCUCUAAAAGGUUAUACUUUAGUAUCUCUAAAAGGUUAUACUUUAGUAUCUCUAAAAGGGUAUACUUUAGUAUCUCUAAAAGGUUAUACUUUAGUAUCUCUAAAAGGUUAUGUGAUUAACUGUUUGAACUCAAUGAAGGGUUGCACAUUUUCGGUAACUUUCACAAAAUGUUCCUGAAAUCCCAGUUGGAAGUUUCCUGGAAUCAGGAGGGAAUAAACAGAGAAUCUGGGAAUCAUCCAACCAGGAUUUCUGGAAAACCUGGGAAUUUUGCAACCCUAAACUCAAGCUACUUUGGAGUUGAUAUUUAUUGGAUUAGAUGUAUCAUGUAUGAGCGCUAUUCUACUUCAUAUUUAUUAGGUGGAUCAUGUAUGAGUGCUAUUACGACAGGAAAGUGAUUCUCUGGAAAUUGUCGAUAUAUUUAGCUCUUUUUAUGGUGCUGAUUGCAUGUCUGUAGUACAUUAUAAUUGUGUUGAAUAAUAGAAAGAUGUAUGUUUCAAUGAUUUAUAUUAGAUUUCUCCACUGAAAAGUACAAGUGCAGCACAACCAGUAGGUAAACAUCAGACAAGCAAAUACACACACAAAUAUGUUAAAACAUUUAAUUUCGUAUAAAGUAUACAAACAAAACAACUUAAAAACAAUAAGAGACAUUCAAAUAACGUACUGUUCCAGUGGUUGAUCUUCUAAGACCAUUUCCUGUUUGAACGAACCAAUCAGAUUGCCCGAUACUAAGAAGUGGAUUCUUCCUACAGAGUCAGUAAACAGAGGAUGCAUCCAAAAAGGUACCCUAUUCCCUACAUAGUGCACUACGUACGACCAGCGCCCUAUAAAGUUGUGCACUAUGUAGGGAAGAGUGCCAUUUCAGAAGCAGUGUGUUGACCACCAAUUAACAUAAAAACAUAUCAUUUUAUAUCAGAAACGGAAAGAAAUAACCUAUUUGUUCACAGUUGGUAUGAAAGGACUGUUUGACAAAAUACCUGUUUAUACAAUAAAAACAUCUAAAGUAAAAAAUAAAAAAAAAUACAACUAUUUACAAUAAAAAAAAAUACCAAUCCUAUAUUUCACAGAAGUCACCCUGCUUAACAAUGCCACUGGUUUAAUCCUUUGUGCAACGUUGGCAGCUUGUUGGCAUUUGUUAUGUUCCCUAUUCAGAGUUGUGAGGGAAAAAGAGAUUGUUUCUAAAAAGCGCAUUCCGUUCUGUGUCCCUACAAGCACACCGUAUCCCAGUCUCCUUUCCUCACCUCUUCACCCCUACAUCCUCUCUCAUGACCAGGCCUUCCAAUCCAAGUUGAAAAAAGGACAAAGAUCCUUGGCUGAAAGUAUUGAGUGUCGAUAAACCAUUGUUUUGUGACAGUGGCAUAUCCUUUCAUUUACAUGAAGAAUAAACAGUAAGGUGGAGCCUAUGGCCUGGCCAUAGUAAGAUCCUAUAAAGACAGUGGUCUUUUCCUAUGUAGCCUAGUUACAGUAAGGUGGAGCCUAUGGCCUGGCCAUAGUAAGAUCCUAUAAAGACAGUGGUCUUUUCCUAUGUAGCCUAGUUACAGUAAGGUGGAGCCUAUGGCCUGGCCAUAGUAAGAUCCUAUAAAGACAGUGGUCUUUUCCUAUGUAGCCUAGUUACAGUAAGGUGGAGCCUAUGGCCUGGCCAUAGUAAGAUCCUAUAAAGACAGUGGUCUUUUCCUAUGUAGCCUAGUUACAGUAAGGUGGAGCCUAUGGCCUGGCCAUAGUAAGAUCCUAUAAAGACAGUGGUCUUUUCCUAUGUAGCCUAGUUACAGUAAGGUGGAGCCUAUGGCCUGGCCAUAGUAAGAUCCUAUAAAGACAGUGGUCUUUUCCUAUGUAGCCUAGUUACAGUAAGGUGGAGCCUAUGGCCUGGCCAUAGUAAGAUCCUAUAAAGACAGUGGUCUUUUCCUAUGUAGCCUAGUUACAGUAAGGUGGAGCCUAUGGCCUGGCCAUAGUAAGAUCCUAUAAAGACAGUGGUCUUUUCCUAUGUAGCCUAGUUACAGUAAGGUGGAGCCUAUGGCCUGGCCAUAGUAAGA